UUCACCCACCACCUCUCUGGCCAACCUGGGCCAGGCUCUCACCACCCUCAGGGCCAACAAUUCCUUCCUCAUGUCCAGACUGAAUCUCCCUCCUUUAGUUUAAAACCAUCACCCCUUGUCCUGUCACAACAGGCCCUGCUCAAAAGUCUGUCCCCAUCUUUCUUAUCAUCCCCUUUUAAGCACUGAAAUGCCACAAUAAGGUCUCCCUGGAGCUUCUCUUCUCCAGCUGAACACCCCAACUCUCUCAGCCUGUCCUACCAGCAGAGCUGUUUCAGCCUCGCAUCAUUUCUGUGGUUCCUCUGGCUCGUCUCCAGCAGGUCCAUGCCCUGUUGAAAUUAAAUGUCCUGACCCCAGAUGAUGAUUUGUCAGUUUCCAAGUCCAUCCCUUGUCAGGCAGAGGGACAGCCAGGCCACCUCGUUCCCAUGGGAUCCCUGGGUGUCUGUGUCCCCGCAGUCAGCGGCUCUGUCCCGCUCGUCACGCUGGAGCGGUACCAGGACGGGGGGAUCCGGGUGUCCUGUCGCUCGGCCGGCUGGUACCCGCGGCCCCAGGUGCUGUGGCGAGAUCCCCACGGGCAGCAUCUCCCAUCCCUCUCGGAAAGCGUCACCCAGGACCAGAGCAGCCUCUUUGUGGUGGAAAGCAGCAUCAUCCUCACCAGGGGCACGAAGCAGAACGUCUCCUGCUGGGUCCGACACGUCCUGGAUGGUCAAGAACAGGGAUCAGAGUUUUCAUCUCAGAUCCCUUUUUCCAUAAUGCCCAUCCUUUGAUAUUUGUCCUGGGCAUCGUCUCGGUUGCUGUGGUUGUUCUCCUUAUUUUUGCUGUUUAUCUAUUUAAAAUUAAAGG